UCUUAUGUUCCAAUUUUUUGUUUUGGUGCUGUACUCAAACCCUAGCUCUGCUGAUCUUAGGUUGGGCAUGCAACAACGACGAACUCAUGUGGGUAGGUCUCAGCUCGUUGGCACGAGUUCUCACCUUUCCCAUUUCUGGUGCUGUCGGCCCUCUACCAAUGUAUUCCCUCCGUUCCAAAAUAGAUGACUCAACUUUGUAAUAACUAUAGUAUAAAGUUAGUACAAAGUUGGGUAAUCUAUUUUGAAACGGAGGGAGUAAGUCCUACUGCUUUGCAUAGUUCCUAGUACUGAUCGGCUCUUGUACUCUGUCCAUGGCACUAUACAGUACAUUUUGUUUUAUUUGUUAUUAUCACCAUGCCCUGUCAAAUUAGAUUAUUUAUACAUAACUAAGUGAAUGCAAGAAGGUUUGUAUUUAUUAAUUGAAAGUUAUGGUCGUUAGAAUGAAGCAGAAGUGCUGAAGCAGAUUUUGAAGAAAUGGUAAGAUAGGAGAUGUGUCCGCUGGCUGAGUCGAGUUGUUCAUGAUGUCAGAUUUCCACCUAUGUAGUUUGCUACAGCUUCACAUCAUUCCUACUUCCUCCAUAGCGGGUGAUCUUUGCAUGUAUGUUUUCCCCUCUAACCGAGCUAAAAGGAAAUAAUGGUUUUAUUUGUUAUUACCAUAUAUUUACAAGUUAUAUUACUUGUACAUUUAUUUAACGUGAAGCAAUAUACAUAUGUUAUUUGACAUAUAAUGGGUUUUCUAUGCGAUGAAUAUAAUAUUGCGGCUUUUCUAAUGUUUCUCUUGAGCUGAAAAGACUUUAGGAUAGGAGAAUUGGUAUAUGAAGAGUAGGAAACUCAUAUUUCGAAUAAAUACUAUAUGGCUUGCUUCUGGUAGUGCUAACUUCAGAGCCUUUAUCAACCUCUUUGGUAUUUUUUGUGCUCUCCUUACGGCUGCAGUAAAUGUACAUAUUAUUUUGCCACAAUGACAACUGAGUCUUCAUCUUCAAGCAUCGUAAUUUUUACUUUUGCUUCAACACAUUUCGUGUUCCCAGUGUUACAAUCUUCAUCCUUUCUUUUUGGCACACUUAUCUUGGCACAUUCAUCCUCUGAGCCAUCUGAUAAUACAGUAUAUCUCUAUAUUUUUCUUUUUCAAUUGCAGAGUCCAUGUGAUUCUAACAUUUUUUCUUCACGCCCAUCAUCAUUUAAUAUAGCCCCAUUUGUAUUGUGGGGUUCUUCUUCCGUAGGCACCCGUUGACAUCUUUUUCUGAGGUGAAGCUCUGUUGUUAUUUGUCUGCGAAAUAAAAAUACAUUUCAAAGAUUAGGCCCAUCUCUAAAAUUUGAGAAGUAUGUACGCUGACAAAAGUAGUCACCCUUUUAUCCUCCAUGUUAUGCUUCUUUGUUGCUUUUUUUAAACAUGGCUUCCACAUUAUCAUCCAUCAAAAUGUAUGCAUAAUAUCUUAUGUAUUAGUUAGGAAAUUACAAAAACAGUACUUACUCCCUCCGUCUUAAAAUAAGUGUCUCAAUUUUGUACUAACUUUAGUGCAAAGUUGUACUAAAGUUGAGACACUUAUUUUGGGACGGAGGGAGUAUUUUGUAAUGAAUUAAAUGCAACUUUACCUCGGUUUUAUCUUUCAAGUACAACAUCUCAGGCCUAUUAAUUAUCAGGCAUAAAUGUUCAUUUUACUGCAUAGUUUUUGUUUCGAAAGUGAGAUUGCCAUCGUGAGUUUAAUUGAAAAUAAGUCUUCGUCGACAUUAUUGCUGUAUAUUCUUUGGCGCUUCUUCAUAUUUCUCAUCCAAUGAGUUCAGCAAGUGGGAGAGAUAAUUAAAUAAAAUAUGGUUCCAGUAUAACCGAUAUUGACUUGUUUUCACUGUAGGUUUUAACAUUGUUUUUGUCGUAAAAAAAGUGGUGACUUCAUAUCUUAGAAGAAGUCGGAUGCAUUACCUCACUUGCCUAGUUUUCAUGCCUCAUUUCAGUAAGUUCUUGUAAUGUUCUCCUCUUGUAAAACACUUGUUCUUCUAGUGUUCCUUGCGUACUUCUAUCUAUCUCUAUUAAUUUUGGUAAAGCUUCUUCUGAUGAGUUCCUGCACAUAUGAACUGAGUCAAGUAUAAUAAGUAUCUUACAUUAUUGGUGAAUAAAGAUGAGUCAAGAUAAAUUAGUUGAUUAAUAGUAAAAAAUGGUCUUCCAUGCAUGUCAAGAAUUUCCCAAGUUUUGGUAUACCUAGAUCUGCACCUAUUCUUGUGGCAUUGGUUGACUUUAAGCACAACCAUGUUUAUCAGUGAAAAAUCCGUUAGAUAUAUUUUCGGUAAAUAAUAGAAGAGCUUGUAGGUUCUAACAUUAAGGAACUUACGAUCGAACUUCUGCACCAUUGUGAGGUCACAAUAAGGACAGUUUGGUUUCUAGUUACAUCCUCAUUCAAAAUAUUAGAAAACUUUCCCCAUAAAGUAACACCACUUUUCUCACCCAUAAAGAGUAUAAGCCGAAAAAUUGAUGCUAACCACAAUGAAGUUAGUCCAGUUAAAAUUUGAUGGGUAUGAAUUAUGCACUUACUCUGAUAUUGGAUUUAAUCUAGCGGAAAUACAAAGGUUCUGAGUUAUUUGACAUCUGUAAAAUUGGAGAUUAAAUAUUUUGAAGUCUGAAAUAUUAAUAUCUUGAAAAUCUUAUUUACAAGUAUAAACUAUAGAGGUACCUGAGCAUUCUUCAUCUUUCUCUGCAUGUGUUCUUCUAGUAUUUCCUCUGUAGCAAACUCGAAGUAGUAAUCUGGGUAACCUUUAGAUGAUCCUUUCACCUCCUAUACAUUUGUAUUUUAUGCAAAAAUAAUUAUAUUUCACUACUCAGUUGGUAAUACUUUGUGGAAUCCGCAAACUUAAAAUUGCUAAAUGCAUAGAUUGAUUCUAUCAACUUCCCGAUAGUAGCAUGAAUUUUUUGGCCCUGUCAGAACAAUCAAAAUAUAGUUAGUAGUUACUGUAUAAAAAAUAGAAAAUUUUGCAAGUAAUAAAUAUGUAUGAAAAAACCUUAUCAUCCAUGAAUAUCAUAUCGACAAAAUACACUUAGUUGUUGUAUAAAACAAAAUUGGACAAUCUGCUAGCAAAUAUGUAAUGACUAAACCUUUUCAUCCAUGAAUCAUCAUAUCGAGGCUCUUAAGCAAAUUACUUGUAAAAUUGAUUAAAUCUCAUAUUCUCAUUACUUGUACUUUAAUGUCAAUCUCCUUCUCUUGUUGUGAACUCGCAAAGAUUGUUGUAUGCCCUUGCUGCAAAAGUAUCAUACGAUCGCUAGUCAAGUAAGACUGUACCUGAAGAUUGUAUGCAGAAUAGCAAAUACAAACCUUGAUGAUCGAGAUGACAGGCCACUCGGAAGAUAGAUUGGAUCUAGAAUAGAAGUUAUGAACCUUGAUGAUUCAGGUGAGAGGCCACUUAGAAGGUUCCUUGGUGUGACUUCGUCCGGCGGCGCGACGUUGCGUAGUUGAAUCAGAAGACUUUGAUUUUGUCGGUAGUGUGCUGGCUAGGUUGCAGAUUGUAUGUCUUCUUAUGUGUUGUGGUUGACUCUGCAAGUAGUACGUGUUGAGUAAUUUUGGUUGAGUCCGUGUGUUCUAUAUGUAGUCCAUGUAUGUGUCUUAUUUGUAUGUGUGUGUCCACAUUUGACUGUUUUUUGAUGCGGUGUCCAUGUUUGGAAUUGGCUGCACCUGAGCUUCCGUAUCUUGAACGGUUUGUCUCAUGUAUUUAUGCUUUUGCCAUGAACCCCUAAACCUCAUACGUGGUUAUG
rnacentral:lncRNA from 1 species